GGUAUCGUAUUCGCGCCACUAGACCUUCAGUAGCGAUCAGACGAGAACUCAUUUACUUCAAUGCGACUAUUUGAGAGAAAAAUUCGAGUUUUUAUUCAAAUUUUUUUUGGAGAUCCGAUACCUGUUCGCGUUUCAACCGAUAAACUAGACUGAAAGGGACUAGUCCGACAAAUUUUUAGGUAGCCUUGAACUCGGAAUUUCUAGAUUCGCAACCCUUGAGACCGCGAAAACGAUGAUUGAUCAGUCUGGGGAGAGGGAAAGGAAUAAUAUUUGUUUAUAAAAAGUUAUAAGAUAAUAGAUAAAAGUUAAUAUGUGCCAGUUUUGUUAAUAAACUUACUACUAUAUAUAUUGCGCGCGCGCGCGCACCACGUACAAUGCAAAAAUAUCAAUCGAGACCUAUCAUCCGCGGAUAAAACAGUACGUCUUAUCACAACAUCGCGGUGUCUUUUAAAGGCUCGGCCGAUAAAACAAAUCAUAUCAUCAUCAUAUUUACACGAUUGGGUGUUGCGCCGGCGUAAAUCAUUCGCGAUCAAAAAAAUGUAGAGUGACGUUUCACCCUCAUGGAAUUCUCCAUUCCUGGAAGACUGUAAACUGAAGAAUGAGUGAGAGAGAGAAAAAGAGAGGCAGUCAUCACGUAGUAUCAAGUUGUUGUCAAGCCUUCAUGCAAGAGGCAAACACAUGGCAGUCAACCUCGAUACGCCUUCGUCAAUGAUAAGAUAAAGAUGUAGAGAAGCCUGAUAUAUAUCUAAGAAAAAGUUGUCGAAUUAUACAUGAGAUACCUAAAUGACUGCACAUUAUGAAUCUCCAGAAGUUGCUAUCGUAUUGAGCAAGGAAGAAAUUCACAAGAGAUACCAAGAUACCGCGAUGGUUAUAUUCAAUGAACAGCAAAGCAGAAAGACAGAAGUAACCAACUAUCUUAGUUUUGGAAACAGUCGCAGAACAAUUGAAUAUAGUAGCAAUGGUAAUCAUCCUGUUAUUAUACGCAAACCCACAAAUUCUGUGAUUACACAAAAUACUCGUUUAUCGCAAAUGUUAAAGGAAUAUCGCAAACCAGGCGAAAGAUGUGCGGUAACUUAAUGAAAAAAAAACCACAUUACAAAUGAUUAGUUUUUAAUAAAUCUAGUUAUUUGCACACUGCAAGAUCUUUGUUGAAUAAAAGCUUAUUAUAAAAUUUUUGCUGAUAAUUCAAUACCUUACCGAAACAUUUCGAUCCUAGUUACAGAAUCUAAAACCAAGAUCGACAGCGCAUAUUUUUCCGGCAUUUUUAUUUAAAUACUUCAUUUUUCAGUAAAAAAAAAAAAAAAAAAA